UAUAGUCUCGCUUGGUUGCAUUCGAAAAAGCUCAAAAUCAUGCAAUAAAAUGUUAACUUUUGAGUCUUUGACUCUACUAGUUCCCUCGUGCGUGAUUUCAAGUGUUCGCCAAAUAUCAAAAGCCGUUUCGCAUGUAGAAAUCCGAUUGAACUCAUUUUUGUCCAAAGCGCAAAAUAAGGCAUUCAUAGCCUUUGCGUUUAAAGAAAACAUCUUCUUCUCCAAAUCAUUCCAAUGGUUCAUUGGAAGAGAAGACAUUUCCAAU
rnacentral:lncRNA from 1 species